GGCACGGUAGCCGAGUGGGUAAAGCGCUUAUCGCUAUUUCCGAAUAUCGAUGGUUCGAAUCCAUCCCGGAGCAACA